UACGGAGGAUCCGAGCGUUAUCCGGAUUUAUUGGGUUUAAAGGGUGCGCAGGCGGGAUGUUAAGUCGGCGGUGAAAUUUUGCAGCUCAACUGUAAAAGUGCCUUCGAUACUGGCUUUCUUGAGUGUGGGUGAAGUAGGCGGAAUUUGUGGUGUAGCGGUGAAAUGCUUAGAUAUCACGAGGAACUCCGAUUGCGCAGGCAGCUUACUAAACCACUACUGACGCUCAUGCACGAAAGCGUGGGGAUCAAACAGGAUUAGAUACCCCCGUA
rnacentral:rRNA from 1 species